rnacentral:rRNA from 1 species
GAGUUUGAUCCUGGCUCAGAACGAACGCUGGCGGCAUGCCUAACACAUGCAAGUCGAACGAGAUCUUCGGAUCUAGUGGCGCACGGGUGCGUAACGCGUGGGAAUCUGCCCAAAGGUACGGAAUAACUCUCCGAAAGGGGUGCUAAUACCGUAUGAUGUCGCAAGACCAAAGAUUUAUCGCCUUUGGAUGAGCCCGCGUAGGAUUAGCUAGUUGGUGGGGUAAAGGCCUACCAAGGCGACGAUCCUUAGCUGGUCUGAGAGGAUGAUCAGCCACACUGGGACUGAGACACGGCCCAGACUCCUACGGGAGGCAGCAGUGGGGAAUAUUGGACAAUGGGGGAAACCCUGAUCCAGCAAUGCCGCGUGAGUGAUGAAGGCCCUAGGGUUGUAAAGCUCUUUUACCCGGGAUGAUAAUGACAGUACCGGGAGAAUAAGCCCCGGCUAACUCCGUG